rnacentral:tRNA from 1 species
GCCUGGGUGGCUCAGUCGGUUAAGCGUCCGACUUCGGCUCAGGUCAUGAUCACAUGGUUUGUGAGUUCAAGCCUCACGUCGGGCU